rnacentral:rRNA from 1 species
UAGUGAUUAACGCGAAGAACCUUACCAAGGUUUGACAUGGCCGGAAAACUCAUGGAGACAUGGGGUCCUUCGGGGCCGGUCACAGGUGGUGCAUGGCUGUCGUCAGCUCGUGUCGUGAGAUGUUGGGUUAAGUCCCGCAACGAGCGCAACCCUUGUCCCAUGUUGCCAGCAUUAGGUUGGGGACUCAUGGGAGACUGCCGGGGUCAACUCGGAGGAAGGUGGGGAUGACGUCAAGUCAUCAUGCCCCUUAUGUCUUGGGCUGCAAACAUGCUACAAUGGCCGGUACAGAGGGCUGCGAGCCUGUGAGGGUGAGCGAAUCCCGGAAAGCCGGUCUCAGUUCGGAUCGGGGUCUGCAACCCGACCCCGUGAAGUCGGAGUCGCUAGUAAUCGCGAAUCAGCAAUGUCGCGGUGAAUACGUUCCCGGGCCUUGUCACACCGAAUCGAAUUC